GCUGGGUGCAGUGGUGCACACUUGUAAUUCCAGUGUCUUAGGAGGCUGAGUCAGGGGAAUUACAAAUUUGAAGUCAGCCUGGACAACUGAGUGAGACCUUGUCUCAG
rnacentral:sRNA from 1 species